CUCUAUUUGAUAGGAAGGGGGAGCAAGUCUUCCUUGUCAUGCUGUUAGAAAACACCCAGAGUCACAGCACCAUGAUCUCCUGAGAUCGGUAGAGCA